UUCAUAUUGAGUGAGUUGUAGUAGUUUAUGAGAAAUUCAUCCAUUUGUCUAUGUCAUAAAAUUUAUGCAUGUAGUUUGUAGUAUUCCGUUAUUCAGUUGCUUCUAAGUAUAUCUCUUUGAAGGUUUGAUUCUUUUCCCAUUGCUUCUAUUGCCACAGUUGAAAUGACAAACAAUCCUAGACAUUUCCUGCCUGCUACCGACUGGAGAUUCAGCAGCAUCUUCCUAGAUUACAAUUAAUGCAUGAGUUUCAGAGACCAUUUAGAAUUAUAAUUCUCAAUCCACUAGAAACUAUAAAUUUGGAUUUGUGGAAACACUUCCUGAGGAUAUGGAUGCUUUGAGGGCAGUAUUACACUUGACCCAUCCACAGGAUGUUCAGAGCAGUGCCUGUCACAAGUCCAGCUUUCUCAUGGACCCUGCUGCUGAAGCUGGACCCCUCCACUGUCUUUCCCUAUGAAGACAGGGACCAGCACUUACCACCACCACCUACGAGCCACCAGCUGCUCCUUCCUGAGAAGAUGGAACAGACUCAAAAAUUAACUAACUUGUCCAAUCUCAUACAGCCAGAAAAGUGCAGAGCAGGAAGUAAAAUCCAUGAAGUCCAACUAGAAGCCAGUUCAGCCGACUCCCGCAGAGUCCCCUUGCCACCCUGCCUAUACUGCCGGCCUUCUUCUGAUUAUGCUUGGAUUAGAUGUCCCUACAGGCAUCGUUGUUAACAACCGGAUAAUUCUCCCUGGCUUAUAUUUCUAGGCUGUCAUUUUCCAAGAGGCUUUUAGACAUGAAAGCUAAUGGGAUUACCCCAUCCAUCUAUUGUUCUGAGCCAAGCCUUCUCACCUAAGCAAGCACUUUUCUGGUGGAUGUUGAAUCUCUUUCUUCCUAUAUUUGAAUUCCUUCAAAUUGGCUGGGCUUCUGGUAAGCAUGACAACACUAGCAACCUGAUGUCGGGGAGGGCUGCUGGAAGCCACCUUGGAUAAUGGUGAAGAAGGUGAAACCACGUGUCCACCUCCACACUAGCCUCUGAGCUUGAGAUGUUCACCAGAAGCCUCACUGUUCAACCUUGCCUCUUAAUUUGUGAAAUAAUACAUGCACACAGAUCCACUCAGCCUUACACACCCCUGCUCUGCCACUCAGUACAGACAUGCUGCCUGAAGUUCCUGACUUCCUUGGCACCUUUCCAUAGUGGUACCUUUCCAUCCUUCCUGGUUAAGCAAAUUUGGGAAAGAAUCAUCUCAGUUGCCAGUCUGGUUUAUAAUUAUCCCAACAGGCCUCACUUUCCAUUUAUGAACUUGGCAAAAGAAAUCACCAAGGAAAAACCUGCCCUACUAAUGACUCAGCUGACGUCACUCAUCAUUGCCUUACUGCUUUAAACACAUUCACCUGAUAAGCCUAUGGUGACUAAUAAAUUCAAAGAACUUAUACC
rnacentral:lncRNA from 1 species